AUGCUUGCAGUUUACUUCAAGACAUACAAAUUGUUACCCUAUAUUCUGAAAUCUUAUUCCUCGGUGUUCAGCUGCAGACUGUGCUCAGAUUGUUUUCGUGCCAGAAAUGAAACAGGCAUGGUUUUCACAAACGCGUCCUGUUUCAAUGGCUUAAACUGUUGGUCCUCGCAUGGCAAUGUCCCUGCUGGUGUUCGUGGAGUUGGUCAGCAACUAUUUUAUGGCCAGCAACCUCCAACGUUUAUUAAUCCACUACAGAUAUGA
rnacentral:rRNA from 1 species